rnacentral:rRNA from 1 species
UGCGCAGNCCUANCAUGCAAGUCGAGCGGUAACAGAAAGUAGCUUGCUACUUUGCUGACGAGCGGCGGACGGGUGAGUAAUGCUUGGGAACAUGCCUUGAGGUGGGGGACAACAGUUGGAAACGACUGCUAAUACCGCAUAAUGUCUACGGACCAAAGGGGGCUUCNGCUCUCGCCUUUAGAUUGGCCCAAGUGGGAUUAGCUAGUUGGUGAGGUAAUGGCUCACCAAGGCGACGAUCCCUAGCUGGUUUGAGAGGAUGAUCAGCCACACUGGGACUGAGACACGGCCCAGACUCCUACNGGAGGCAGCANUGGGGAAUAUUGCACAAUGGGCGCAAGCCUGAUGCAGCCAUGCCGCGUGUGUGAAGAANGCCUUCNGGUUGUAAAGC